ACCUAGCUGGCUCAAUCAGUAGAGCGUGUGGCUCUUAAUCUCCAGGUUGUGAGUUUGAGCCCCACGUUGGGUG
rnacentral:tRNA from 1 species